ACUGCCAAGGAUGGCAGUAGUUCCAUACAGCAGCGAUGUUUUGUGCGUACACAAAACUCGCCUUCAACUGUUGUACACGGAUGUACAACAGUUGAAGAUG
rfam:Treponema sp. OMZ 838, complete genome.